rnacentral:lncRNA from 8 species
AUGGAGGACCGUAUGGAGUGGAGGGCGCCGUGUUUUGCUGAAGUGCGCACAAUCUCGCCCACACGCACGCACAGUCCAGUGCGAGUUAUUCCAGCCCCUCGCAGAUGCCGUGCUAGAGUGGGCAUCCAGCCUGGUAGGAGGAUGCCUGCGCAGCGCGUCUGGUCACCGGUGCGCCUCCUAGGACCAGGCUACCCUACGCCCGCUCUACGCAUGGCAACCAUCAGGCCCCUGCACAGCCCAGUUCGCCCUGUACUAGCACCCUGCUUGUACAGGGCUACUAGUUCCAUCCAGCCAGGACGGGUUGUGCAGGAGGUGAGAUCAAGACCGCCUGUGCGCCUCCAUGGCCCGGUGUUUCCAGUUCCUGUCUCUCGUGCGGACCCGGAAGUGCGAAACCCCAGUCUGGCACGUCCAGUACCAGCACCACGCACCAGGCUUCCAGUGCGUCAGCCCAGUCCGACUCGUCCUGUUCCCACUCCCCGCACUAGCCCUGAGGUGCGUGUUCCCAGUCUGGCACGUCCAGUACCAGCACCACGCACCAGGCUUCCAGUGCAUCAGCCCAGUCCGACUCGUCCUGUUCCCGCUCCCCGCACUAGCCCUGAGGUGCGUGUUCCCAGGCUGAUACCUACAGUACCAGCACCACGCAUCAGGCAUCUAGUGCGUCAGCUGCUCGCCAGUCAGGAGUUGCCAGAGCUGCUCGCCAGUCAGGAGUCGCCAGAGCUGCCCGCCAGUCAGGAGUCGCCAGAGCCGCCCGCCAGUCAGGAGUCGCCAGAGUGGCCCGUCUGCCUGGAGCUGCCAGAGUGGCCCGCCGCGCCGGAUCUGCCAGAGUGGCCCGCCGCGCCGGAUCUGCCAGAGUGGCCCGCCUGCCCGGAACCUAGCGGGUCUGCCUGUGACCCAGAACCGAGGGGGUCUGCCUGUGACCCGGAACCGUGGGGGUCUGCCUGUGACCCGGAACCGAAGGGUCUGCCUGUGACCCAGAACCGGGUGAGUCUGCCUAUGACCCAGAACCAAAGGAGUCUAGCAGCAACCCGGAACUGA